UAUAUAGUCGAAGUCAAUAUUAGGUCGAAAUAAAUCGAUUCGACUUAAUGUUUGGAGUAUAUUUUCAGUGACUUCCGCUUUACACAGAGGGAAAAAUUUCAAUAUCAGGGGAGCUCCGGAACAUAUCUUUUAAUGUUUGUUUAAUUUUUUUGUCUUCUGUCAGCUUUUCUCGAAAAACAUCACUUUGAAAUUGUGGUGUGUAUACUUCAAAUUUUAAAAACAGGUAGAAGGUACAUACGCAUGUUCAUUUAAUAAAUACUUUGUUAUAAAUGAAAGGAUUAAAUAAAUAAUCAUACCAAUUUGUGUAAAAUUAAAAUAUCUGUCUUUUAAACAACAUAUACAUCGAGGUAUAUCAUACACGAAAGGAGAAAACUGCCAAAAAUAUAGCGGUGUAAGAUAUAUACUGGCAAUGAAAAGUUACAUUUCGGAAUACCUCGGCCAGUAUUGUCUAAGCGAAUAAAGAAACGAGAUAUGAAAAUAUUAAUAGAAUUACCGGAACAAGUUAGUCUAGUCACUGUGCCAGUUUUGUUUUUCCUUUAAUGAUUUGCUUUGUGUACAAUAUGAACAAAGUUGCUGGCGGGAGUAACUGCGUGCUGUCAUUUGAUAGAGAUGUUAAAAAAGGGGCGUAGCUGAGAAUUUUAAAGUUGUAGCUUGCUUUGUGAUGGGAAGACAACACCCGUGGACGUUUAGCACAUUUCGGAGAAUUACGCCUGGUUCAUUCAACUGAUACCAUUUGGAAUGAUGUUGGCCAAGAAAAUAGCUACGGCUUUGUUGGCAGAGUACUUGUUUACACUUCUGAAUUGGAUCUCAGAAACACAAUCAGCUGAACAAAAAGAAAAAUACACACAAAAUUACGGUUACCAGGCUCACAAUCUGUUUCACGGCUCACUGCUAGAACAAAGAGGCGAGAGCGUGACACUCCUAAGAUCAUAUGAACUCUUUAGGGAACUUCAAAACAAGCUCUAAAUCACUGCCAGUACUUCAGAGCUCCUCAAAGCUGUAUAUGAAAUAAACUGGAGAUUAUAAAAGGAAAAAUACAAAAAGGUGGAUUACAAAGCUAGUGCAAAUGUGGAAAAUGAGAUUUAGUAAUAUUUAUUGCUCUGCUUCGUCAAAAUAUAUCAUUUAGUGAAUGGAAGGCAUCACCUCUUGUAAGCUGCUUUGGAAUAUAGAAAAAAAAACAGCACAGUCUUCGGGAACUUUUCAGAACUGCUGUAUUUAAGGAUGUUGGAUACGUUUCAGGCCAAUUUGUUCUACAAUUAAGAUUUUUUUCAUACUUUGCAUGUUUGAAGAUCUUUAGUAUCUAUUUCAUAUAAAAGCAAAAAAACGGUA
rnacentral:lncRNA from 1 species